GAGAUGAUGACCAUAAUUGGAAAAUUGCCCAUGUGGUACUCAAAGAGGAACAGGAAUUUCGCUAACUUUUCCAGGGCACAAAAGGCGACCCUCGGAACUCAACUGGGGGAAUUUACCUGGAUGACAUCACUCUUGACAGAAACCCCCUGCCCCACAGGGGUCUGGAGAGUCCAGAAUUUCUCCCAGGUCCUUGAGAACACCAGCGAAGUGGACAAGCUUCAGAGCCCUCGAUUCUACAAUUCAGAGGGAUGCGGUUUUGGGUUAACUUUAUACCCCCAUGGCAGAGAAAGCUCUGGCUAUUUGAGACUUGCUUUUUACAUGUGCAGUGGGGAGAAUGAUGCUAUCCUGGAGUGGCCGGUAGAAAACAGACAGGUGAUAAUUACCAUCUUCGACCAGGACCUGAUGUCAGGAACAGGAUGUCCUCAAGUUUGGUGUUCACUACCUCCAAGUUGCACAUAUCUCCAGUGACAAAUGACACUGUCAUCUGGGACAGGCCGUCCAGGGUGGGAACCUAUCAUGCUGACUGUAAUUGUUUUAGAAGCAUUGACUUUGGCUGGAGUGGUUUCAUCUCCCACCAAAUGCUGAAAAGGAGGAGUUUCCUGAAAAAUGAUGACCUCAUCAUGUUUGUGGACUUUGAAGAUAUCACCCACCUCAGCCAGACUGAAGUUCCCACUAAAGGCAAAAGACUGAGCCCCCAAGGCCUCAUUCUCCAAGGCCAGAAGCAGCAGGUCUCCAAAGAAGGUUCAGGAAAGGCCAUGUUAGAGGAAGCCGUACCUGUCAGCCUCAGCCAGGGGCAGCCCGGCUGACAGAAGCCGUCAGUGAAGAACACAGGCCCCCUGGAGGACCAUAACUGGCCACAGUACUUCAGAGGCCCAUGUGACCCAAACCCUUGCCAAAAUGAUGGCAUCUGUGUGAACCUGAAGUGGGUGGCGAGGUGCAGAUGCAUCUCUGGACAUGCUUUCUUCUAAAUGGGAGCGCUGUCAGGCCAUGCAGGUGCACGGCAGCGUCCUGGGCAUGGUGAUCGGAGGCACGGCUGGUGUGAUCUUCUUGAGCUUCUCCAUCAUCGCCAUCCUUUCCCAAAGGCCAAGGAAGUGACCUGCCUGCUGGCAUUGGCCAGACCACAGCAGCACCUCCUCCAUGCAGGCCUUACCUUCCAAUGGUCAGUGCAGUUUGGGGCAGCUUUUUUAUCAGCCUUGCUUUGGAUAGGACCUCCAAGGUCUAAGGCCUCCAGCCCCAUGUGUGACCCUUGUCAUCUUUCUGCCCCACAUAAUUCUGUUACUCUGCUAUGUGCUCCUAAUGUAUCUAGUGUGUCCUGUGACAACAUUCAUCAUACUUCAUUGUAAACCACUUGUUUGAUUGACUGUCUUUCCUAUAGACUGUAAGCCCCAUGAGGGCAGGCACAUGUUGUUAUUGACCAUGCUGGCCACGUGCCUAGAUGCAUGGCUGGCACAUUGUGGGCACUCAACAAUGGUUGAAUGAAUAAAACAAUAAAUGAAUGAAUAAGAUAUAGAAACUCUCAUUUAUAUUGCAGAUCAAAUAUAUAUGAUGAAAUUCUUAGGUUGAAUAUGUUAGAAUCAAAUACUCAUUUUUCAUUAGACACAGUAGUGUCAUUACUCUUUUAAGAUCUUGUUAAAGAUUUCAAAUAAAGGUACUUCUAGGCAGCCCGGCUUCACAGCAUUUGCUUUCCUCUGAGAUUCUAAGAGAAGCCCUUUAAUAAAUUUAAUAAAUAUUGAGUUAGC
rnacentral:lncRNA from 1 species